GACGAACGCUGGCGGCGUGCUUAACACAUGCAAGUCGAACGAAGUGGCGGACGGGUGAGUAACGCGUAAUCAACCUGCCCUUCAGAGGGGGACAACAGUUGGAAACGACUGCUAAUACCGCAUACUGAAGGAGGGGAUUGCGUCUGAUUAGCUAGUUGGAGGGGUAACGGCCCACCAAGGCGAUGAUCAGUAGCCGGGCCGGGGAGAUGAACGGCCACAUUGGGACUUAGACACGGCCCAAGAUCCUACGGGAGGCAGCAGGGGGGAAUCUUCCGCAAUGGACGAAAGUCUGACGGAGCAACGCCGCGUGAGUGAUGACGGCCUUCGGGUUGUAAAGCUCUGUUAAUCGGGACGCGGUACCGGAAUAGAAAGCCACGGCUAACUACGUGCUAGCAGCCGCGGUAAUUC
rnacentral:rRNA from 1 species